AUUUGUGUGCCUAACAGCCAUGUGUUAUAAUGCCUGUUUCACUUUAUUCUCAGCCAUAUAUUUCAUGAAAUGUAACUUAUUAUUCAUUCUUUAAGACCUCAUGAGACUGUUACAUGAAGUAUGGAAUAUUUUUAUGAACUCUCAUGCAAACAAGUCAGGAACAUGGUAGGAAACAGUAGAAAUCCUCUAACUUCAAUGCUAUGGAUAUUCUUCAAGAAAAGCUGGCACUUCACAAAACUAAGCAAGUACCUGGCCAAGGAGUCAGAGAAAAUGAAGGAGCAUUCAGAGAGAGCUGGAGUUGUUGCAGGAACGCUAAGAAGAUAUUGCCUAAAAUGUUUAUUGCAAUGAAUAACUCACAACCAUGCAGAGAUAGCAUUUCAUCACUUGGAGAAGGAAACUUUCAUCAGAAUAAUUACAAACAAUACAUGGUAUAGAGUUUGAGAGCUGCUCUUCCCAUGCACCAAGGAAAAGGAGAUGCUGCAGAAACUGAUAUUUAAUUGGGGGGACUCCUGCAGAGAGACAAAACUCUUCUGGAAAGAGGGCCAGCAAAGUCAAAGAAGCAGUUUUCAAUAUUAUAAGAAAUACAGAUACUUGUCUUUUCAUCACAAAAAUAAGUAAUUAGAUAGAAAGGGUAUUAAAGAUUGGCCAAG